rnacentral:rRNA from 1 species
CACGUAGGGUGCAAGCGUUGUCCGGAAUUAUUGGGCGUAAAGAGCACGUAGGCGGUUAAUUAAGUCAGAUGUGAAAACCAAGGGCUCAACCCGUGGAUUGCAUUUGAAACUGGAUAACUUGAGGACAGGAGAGGUAAGUGGAAUUCCUAGUGUAGCGGUGAAAUGCGUAGAUAUUAGGAGGAACACCAGUGGCGAAGGCGGCUAUCUGGACAGUAACUGACGCUGAGGCGCGAAAGCGUGGGGAGCAAACAGG